rnacentral:rRNA from 1 species
AUUGAACGCUGGCGGCAGGCCUAACACAUGCAAGUCGAGCGGAUGAGGGGAGCUUGCUCCCUGAUUUAGCGGCGGACGGGUGAGUAAUGCCUAGGAAUCUGCCUAGUGGUGGGGGAUAACGUUCCGAAAGGAACGCUAAUACCGCAUACGUCCUACGGGAGAAAGCGGGGGAUCUUCGGACCUCGCGCCCUUAGAUGAGCCUAGGUCGGAUUAGCUAGUUGGUGAGGUAAAGGCUCACCAAGGCGACGAUCCGUAACUGGUCUGAGAGGAUGAUCAGUCACACUGGAACUGAGACGCGGUCCAGACUCCUACGGGAGGCAGCAGUGGGGAAUAUUGGACAAUGGGCGAAAGCCUGAUCCAGCCAUGCCGCGUGUGUGAAGAAGGUCUUCGGAUUGUAAAGCACUUUAAGUUGGGAGGAAGGGUAUUCACCUAAUACGUGAGUAUUUUGACGUUACCGACAGAAUAAGCACCGGCUAACUUCGUGCCAGCCGCCGCCGUAACAC